GAUAAGUGGAUUGUUGGUGUGAAGGAGGUCAUGUGUUCAAAUCUUGGUGUGGGUAUUAUUUUUGCUCGUGGGUCCAGGAGAGUUUGAGAUGGACUAAAAAUCUGAGUAGUGGAUUUAAUGGAGAGUUUGAUGGAGAGAAAUAAGGGAUUGGGGUGGUUAUCAAAUAUUCUAUUCAUAUAUUUUUUUCUUUUUUUUUUACUUUCCCCAAAAUCCCUCCACCCUCUUGUCGUUUUUCUCUUCAUUGCUGCCGAAUUUCUACUCUCUUUCACCUUUCAUCUUCUUGAUUUUUCUUUUCGCACUCUGCCUCGUGUCACUCCACGUUUGUCUGUGAUCGUUCGAUAAGUUUUAGAUAAGUGAUUUGUCUCCGUUUGUUAACUUUCUUCUAAAGUGUUUUGUUU
rnacentral:lncRNA from 1 species